rnacentral:rRNA from 1 species
AGCAGCCGCGGUAAUUCCAGCUCCAAUAGCGUAUAUUAAAGUUGUUGCAGUUAAAAAGCUCGUAGUUGAACCUCGGGAUCAAUUGAUUGGUCAUGCCAUUGGUAUGUACUGGUCAUAUUGGUUCUCACCUUCUAAGGAACCUUAAUGUCAUUAAUUUGAUGUUUGGGGAAUUAGGACUGUUAACCUUGAAAAAAUUAGAAGUGUUUAAAGCAGGCUAACGCUUGAAUACAUUAGCAUGGAAUAAUGAAAUAGGACAUCGCAUUCUAUUUUGUGGUUUCUAGGAUCGAUGUAAUGAUUAAUAGGGAUAGUUGGGGGCAUUAGUGUUCAAUUGUCAGAGGUGAAGUUCUUGGAUUUAUUGAAGACUAACUACUGCGAAAGCAAUUUGCCAAGGAUGUUUUCAUUAAUCAAGAACGAAAGUUAGGGGAUCGAAGACGAUCAGAUACCGUCGUAGUCUUAACCAUAAACUAUAGCCGACUAGGGAUCGGAUGAUGUUAAUUUAUAAUG